rnacentral:rRNA from 1 species
UACCAGCACCCCGAGUGGUCGGGACGUUUAUUGGGCCUAAAGCAUCCGUAGCCGGUUCUACAAGUCUUCCGUUAAAUCCAGCUGCUUAACAGAUGGGCUGCGGAAGAUACUAUGGAGCUAGGAGGCGGGAGAGGCAAGCGGUACUCGAUGGGUAGGGGUAAAAUCCGUUGAUCCAUUGAAGACCACCAGUGGCGAAGGCGGCUCACUGGCCCGGUACUGACGCUGAGGUGCGAAAGCGUGGGGAGCAAACAGG